ACAGUGUAUGGUAGGAUAAGGCAGGAUAGGGUAGGGCUGGAUAGGCUAGGCGAGGGUAGGGUACAUUAGGUCAGGAUAGAAUACGUUAGGGAAGUAUAUGAUAGGGUAGGAGCAGGUAGGGUGGGGCAGGAUAGCAUAGGAUAGAGUAGGGUAGGGGAGGAUAGGAUAUGGUAGGGCAAGAUAGUAUAGGGUAGGGUAGGGAAGGGUAGGGAAGAUAAGAUAGGAUAGGGAAAGGUAGGAUAGAACAGGAUAGUGUAGGGUAGGUAAAGUAGGGUAGGAGAAUCGGAUGCAAAGGGAUAUGGUGUAAUAGGGGAGGGUAAGUUAGGAUAGGAUAGGGUAGGCUAGGCUAGGAUAAGAUACGGUAGGGUAGGAUAGGAUAGGGUAGGGUAGGGCAGGGUUGGGAAAGGUAGGGUAGAAUUGAGAAGGGUAGGGUAGGACAUGAUGGAGUAGGUUUGGGUAGAGUAGGAUAGAACUGGGUAAAAUAGGCUAGGGUAGGGUAGGGCAAUGUAGGGAAUGGUAGGACGGAUUAGGAUGGGGUAGGAUAGGAUAGGGUAGAGUAGAAUAGGUAAGGUUAAGCUUUGGUAGGAUAGGGUAGGGAAGGAUAGGGUAGGGUACUGUAGGGUUGGGAUGGGGUAGAGUAUGAUAGGGUAGAAUCAGAUAUGGUAGGUUAGAAUAGAAUAGGUUAGGGUAGGGUAGGAUAGGUUACAAAAGGGUAGGAUAGGAUAGGGUAGGAUAGUUGAGGGUUGGACAGGAUAGACUUAGGUAGGGUAUGGUAGGCUAGGCUAGGCUAGGGUAGGGUAGGGUAGGGUAGGGUUGAGAAAGAUAGGAUAGAGUACAGUAGGGUAGGAUAGGAUAGGGUGGGGUAGGGUAGGGUAGGAAAG
rnacentral:lncRNA from 1 species